rnacentral:rRNA from 1 species
GUGGAUUAGAUACCCUGGUAGUCCGCGCGGUAAACGAUGGAUGCCCGCUAUUUGCGCAUUGGCGCAAGUGGCCAAGUGAAAACGUUAAGCAUCCCACCUGGGGAGUACGCCGGCAACGGUGAAACUCAAAGGAAUUGACGGGGGCCCGCACAAGCGGAGGAACAUGUGGUUUAAUUCGAUGAUACGCGAGGAACCUUACCCGGGCUUGAAUUGCAGAGGAAAGAUCCAGAGAUGGUGAUGCCCUUCGGGGCCUCUGUGAAGGUGCUGCACGGUUGUCGAAAACU